rnacentral:rRNA from 1 species
AACGAACGCUGGCGGCAUGCCUAACACAUGCAAGUCGAACGAGACCUUCGGGUCUAGUGGCGCACGGGUGCGUAACGCGUGGGAACCUGCCCUUAGGUUCGGGAUAACUCCCCGAAAGGGGUGCUAAUACCGGAUAAUGUCUUCGGACCAAAGAUUUAUCGCCUUUGGAUGGGCCCGCGUUGGAUUAGCUAGUUGGUAGGGUAAAAGCCUACCAAGGCGACGAUCCAUAGCUGGUCUGAGAGGAUGAUCAGCCACACUGGGACUGAGACACGGCCCAGACUCCUACGGGAAGCAGCAGUGGGGAAUAUUGGACAAUGGGCGAAAGCCUGAUUCAGCAAUGCCGCGUGAGUGAUGAAGGCCUUAGGGUUGUAAAGCUCUUUUACCCGGGAUGAUAAUGACAGUACCGGGAGAAUAAGCUCCGGCUAACUCCGUG